GUGCAUCUAGAUUAGAGUUUGAUCCUGGCUCAGGAUGAACGCUGGCGGCGUGCCUAAUACAUGCAAGUCGAGCGAAUGGAUUAAGAGCUUGCUCUUAUGAAGUUAGCGGCGGACGGGUGAGUAACACGUGGGUAACCUGCCCAUAAGACUGGGAUAACUCCGGGAAACCGGGGCUAAUACCGGAUAACAUUUUGAACCGCAUGGUUCGAAAUUGAAAGGCGGCUUCGGCUGUCACUUAUGGAUGGACCCGCGUCGCAUUAGCUAGUUGGUGAGGUAACGGCUCACCAAGGCAACGAUGCGUAGCCGACCUGAGAGGGUGAUCGGCCACACUGGGACUGAGACACGGCCCAGACUCCUACGGGAGGCAGCAGUAGGGAAUCUUCCGCAAUGGACGAAAGUCUGACGGAGCAACGCCGCGUGAGUGAUGAAAGCUUUCGGGCCGUAAAACUCUGUUGUUAGGGAAGAACAAGUGCUAGUUGAAUAAGCUGGCACCUUGACGGUACCUAACCAGAAAGCCACGGCUAACUA
rnacentral:rRNA from 1 species